ensembl:Y_RNA Y_RNA Y RNA
GGCUGUUCCAAAGGUAGUAAGUUAUCUCGAUUGUUUAUAGUCAGUUACAGAUCAAACUCCUUAUUUUACUCUCACUACUGCACUUGACUACUGUAAU